UGCAUAUCAAUAAGCGGAGGAAAAGAAACCAACAGGGAUUGCCUUAGUAGCGGCGAGUGAAGCGGCAAAAGCUCAAAUUUGAAAUCUGGCACUUUCAGUGUCCGAGUUGUAAUUUGAAGAAGGUAUCUUUGGGUCUGGCUCUUGUCUAUGUUUCUUGGAACAGAACGUCACAGAGGGUGAGAAUCCCGUGCGAUGAGAUGUCCCAGACCUAUGUAAAGUUCCUUCGAAGAGUCGAGUUGUUUGGGAAUGCAGCUCUAAGUGGGUGGUAAAUUCCAUCUAAAGCUAAAUAUUGGCGAGAGACCGAUAGCGAACAAGUACAGUGAUGGAAAGAUGAAAAGAACUUUGAAAAGAGAGUGAAAAAGUACGUGAAAUUGUUGAAAGGGAAGGGCUUGAGAUCAGACUUGGUAUUUUGUAUGUUACUCUCUCGGGGGUGGCCUCUACAGUUUACCGGGCCAGCAUCAGUUUGAGCGGUAGGAUAAGUGCAAAGAAAUGUGGCACUGCUUCGGUAGUGUGUUAUAGUCUUUGUCGAUACUGCCAGCUUAGACUGAGGACUGCGGCUUCGGCCUAGGAUGUUGGCAUAAUGAUCUUAAGUCGCCCGUCUUGAAACACGG
rnacentral:rRNA from 1 species